ACUGGGAGCAGUGGCUUAUGCCUGUAAUCCCAGCACUUUGGGAGGCUGAGGCAGACGGAUCACUUGAGGUCAGGAGUUUGAGACCAGCCUGGCCGACAUGGUGAAACCCUGUCUCUACUGAAAAUACAAAAAUUAGCUGGGCAUAGUGGCAAGCCACUGUAAUCCCAGCUACUCAGGAGGCUGAGGCAGGAGAACCCAGGAGGCAGAAGUUACAGUGAGCCAAGAUCAUGCCACUGCACUUCAGCCUGGGCAACAGAGUGAGACUCUGUCUCA
rnacentral:sRNA from 1 species